GGAAGAGGAAGACAAAGAGUGGAAAUAUCUGAUGAAAUUCGAGCAACAGUUAUAGACCAUGUUCUUGUCCAUGGACUGACAAUGAGGGAAGCAGGACUUAGAGUGCAACCCAAUUUGAGCCGAUUUUCUGUGUCCACCAUAGUAAGGACAUUCAGAGAAGAGAACAGAAUUGCAAGGCUGCCACAUGCAGGUGGAAGGACAGCUAUAUUCACUCGGGAGCAAGAGGCCGUUAUAGUUGGCAUGGUCCUUCAAGAUAAUGCAAUACGACUCAGAGAAAUCCAGGAACGAGUGAUACAAGACAACACACACUUCCAGGGAAUCGACAGUGUGAGCAUUUCCACAAUUGACCGUGUCCUCCAUCGUAACAGGAUGCGAAUGAAACAAGUAUACAGAGUACCUUUUGAGCGCAACUCACCAAGGGUGAAAGAACUGCGAGCUCAGUAUGUGCAAACAAUAUUUGACUUGGAAUCCUUGGACAGACCCCAUGAGUUCAUCUUUGUCGAUGAAGCAGGCUUCAAUCUAACAAAGAGGAGAAGGAGAGGCCGAAACAUGAUUGGACAGCGGGCCAUUG